GCGGAUGUAGUUCAAUGGUAGAACAUCAGGUUGCCAAUCUGAAUACGAGGGUUCGAUUCCCUUCAUCCGCACCA
rnacentral:tRNA from 4 species